AUAAAGGGUCGGUUGGCUAAUUAUGCCACACUCGUCCAGUGAGGCGGGUGCUGUAUGGCUAUCAAGACAUAUGGCCGACAUAAUUUCUGGACUGUUAAAGGGUUGGUCCGCUCGGCCGACCCUCCA